UACGUAGGGGGCAAGCGUUGUCCGGAUUUAUUGGGCGUAAAGAGCGUGUAGGCGGCCAGUUAAGUCCGUUGUGAAAACUCGAGGCUCAACCUCGAGACGCCGGUGGAAACUGCAAAGCUAGAGUCCGGAAGAGGAGAGUGGAAUUCCUGGUGUAGCGGUGAAAUGCGCAGAUAUCAGGAGGAACACCCGUGGCGAAAGCGGCUCUCUGGGACGGUACUGACGCUGAGACGCGAAAGCGUGGGGAGCAAACAGG
rnacentral:rRNA from 1 species